GAUCACACAGCACGGAGCAAGGCAAUCGAAGAAACACAGACCUUCCUAAACGGCUUAUUAAGCACAAACAACUGUGCCUGGCAGGCAAACUCACACACAGUGAGCCAAGGCUUGCUCUCCUGCCCAAGUCCCAGUGUUGUCUUUGCUCACCAGGGACCCCAAGGCCUGUGGUCUCUUUGCACAGCCUGCAAGGACAUCAAGGGACUGAGCCCCAGGCUGCUGGCGAGCUCGGGAUUGCAGCGGCUGCUUGGAUUAGAAAUGCCAUGUGACUGGAUGGGAGUGUCUCACAGGCCAGGUCUCACUGGAGGGAUCCUGAAAGGAAAAUUCAGAUGACACCUCAAAUUCUGGGCAGCAGUGCUGAGACAGUGGGAGGCCUGACAGGUCUGCGGCAGCCACAGCCAGGAGAGAGGAUUUCACAGCAAUCUGCCACAGCAAUGCUGGUCCCUCCAAAGGACAGGAGGCCCAACCAGCAUUUAAAUGACAAGUUUACUAAUGGUAACUGGAAGUGCUGUGAUGUCUCCCUGCUUCAAGUACAGAUUGCAACACCUGCUGGGACAAGACUCCCCCAAACCUGUGAGAUGCUGCAGGAUGCUCAGGGAAACGCUGCACAACCUGGCGAGGACUCAAUGUGAUAACGCUGAAGAGUGAUCAGACAGUCAACUAUGAAACCGCGGCGGCGUCUGCUGAGGAAAACCCACAAGCUGUCAAGAAAGCUGCGGGAUGUUUUGCGACACAAUCUAUCAACUAUCCAAGGUGAAUGCCUUUAUUUAUAGAUGGAUUUCUUUUCCUGUUGUAAUUCCAUGCCUUCUCAGUCUUACAGUAAGCCACCUGGCCAGUGUGAAUACGCACGUUAAUUUCAAGGUAAUAUAUUAUUCUGUAUAAUAAAAACAAGUUGUCUGGCUGUUUUUAGUGGAGU
rnacentral:lncRNA from 1 species